CAGAGCUGGAUGCCCUCCACCCUCCAGCCAAACUUAUUUUUUUCAUAUCAUAGCUGCAGAAUAUUCGGACCCUCUAGUCCCAGCCGCCCAGUGAACUUGAGCUGUGUGACCUUGAGCAAAAGGCAAAAUCUUUCUGAUUUUCAGUCCCCUCAUCCGGAAAAGGAGGAGGCUGUGGGACAUGAUGAUCUUUGAAAGUCUAAUAAUGAAACAAACAGAAAACCUGUGCUUCUAAGUUGGUGAGUCUGGAAAGGCUUGGUGUACAGUUGAUGUCUAGAAUAUAUUAACAGAAGGCUGCCCUGUAGAAGUUUUGAGUUAAUGGUUUCCAUCAACGUAGGAGUGGAAGAAGCUACUGGGGAUCAGGAAUCAGAAGUCCUGGCUUUAAGCCCUAGCUUUAGCCCUCACUGGCAAUAAAAUCAAAGAGACCUUCAGUUUCUCCACUUUUAAGGUU